GACGGAGGAUGCAAGCGUUAUCCGGAAUUAUUGGGCGUAAAGCGUCCGUAGGUGGCUCUUCAAGUCUGCUGUCAAAGAGUGGGGCUUAAUCCUGCAAAGGCAGUGGAAACUGAAAGGCUAGAGAGCCGUAGGGGUAGAGGGAAUUCCCGGUGUAGCGGUGAAAUGCGUAGAGAUCGGGAAGAACAUCGGUGGCGAAGGCGGGUCUCUGGGCAAUUCCUGACGCUGAGGCGCGAAAGCGUGGGGAGCAAACGGG
rnacentral:rRNA from 1 species